UACGUAGGGUGCAAGCGUUAAUCGGAAUACUGGGCGUAAAGCGUGCGCAGGCGGUUUUGUAAGUUUGUCGUGAAAUCCCCGGGCUCAACCUGGGAAUGGCGAUGAAGACUGCAAGGCUAGAAUCUGGCAGAGGGGGGUAGAAUUCCACGUGUAGCAGUGAAAUGCGUAGAGAUGUGGAGGAACACCGAUGGCGAAGGCAGCCCCCUGGGUCAAGAUUGACGCUCAUGCACGAAAGGCGUGGGGAGCAAACGAGGAUUAGAGUA
rnacentral:rRNA from 1 species